rnacentral:lncRNA from 1 species
AAAGCAGCUUAUUGUAGUAACGCUCCCUUGUCAGAUUCCCCCUCCUCCAGGGAAGGCUGCAUACCUUAGGAUUGCUCCCAGCCAGCCAUGAAGCACCACAGCUAGAAGGUGGCUUUUUUCUCUCCAGAAAGGAAUUUCUGCCUCUUCCACCCAGUCAGCACCAUCCCUUGUUGUGGGGGUUCUUUUUAUCCAGUUUUCAGUUCUCUCUCAGGGGUAAUUUUUCCAAGAGUAGUUGCAAGUUUGUUGUGUCUGUGGGAGGAGGUAUGGUGAGGCCAACACACCAGGAGAUGAUUGCCUUGAAGAGAGAGUUUGUUAUUCACAGUUCCCAAGAAGGGACCACACCUUGUGUGUCCACAUUUCCAGGAAGGAAUGGGCAAGACAGGUCUUUAGGUGCUGGGGGUCAAUAAAGGGAAUAAAAUCUGAUUCCUGCCUUCUAAGAGCAUACCGUCUGUGUAAAUAAACUCACCAUGAAUUGAAUGUGAUCAAAGCUUCAGCAGAGGCAGCCUUGGAAGCUAUUGGCAGUGGAAGGAGGUUGAGAAAGCCUGGAUACAAAUGAUUCCUCAUUUCACAGAUGAGGAAAGUGGGAGCCACCAGGGAAAUGCAGGACUGGCUGCAGUCACCCAGCUCUGCUGACAGAACCAGCCUUGGAGCCCAGGCCUCCUGCCACCCGCGCUGGUGCUGCUGGGAUUGCACUGCCCUGGUGGAAGUGAUCUGAAAUGCAAAGCUGGAUGAAGAGACCAGAACAACACGCCCUUGCCUUUAGGGGAGGUGGGCAGGCCAUCUCACAGUGCCUUUGGCCCAGGAGGAAACAUGACCAGCAGUAGAUUAACUGAACUCCCAGGAUUGCAAUGAUGUGUGUGCCUGCGGGAAAAUGAGGGCCUCUCCACGUGGCAGAGAGGAGAAUUCCUCUGGGUCAAGACUUUUACUCACUCCGUGUUUUUUAAUUAGCAACCCUGAUUUUUCUAAGGAUUGCAUUCAAUCAGCAAAUGCUUCUUACAUAACUCCCCACCCGCUGAUCCACUAUUGGACAGCACAGGUCACUAAAAUAUGGAAAAAGAAUGGAAAUUUUGGAUCCUGGUACAUGACAGAAGAUUAGAUGAGGGAAAGAGCCAUGAAAAAGUCAUUCGGAACUAUUUUAAAGAUAUUAAAUGCACUCUGUUCACUACAAUGACCACUAUAUUUUUUGAAUUAAAGAAGACUUUGUUCUAUUUGGCAUAAAGUAUAGCA